GUUUACGUUUUUUGAACGACUUGGACAGCAUACUUGAGCAGUUUAUUUUGCUAAAUUUUGGUGAAUAUUGUAAUAAGUGAAAGGGUGAACAGGUGUGAGCCGACAGAUAUGGAUAGUGCUACGACAGAGUAAUUUCACAGAGUCACACAGCACGACCAACUUGCGCUCGUUCCAUUGUUAUAAAUUGGUCCACAAAAAGACGCUCGCCGAUAAGGAAAUUAGCCUGGCCUACAAGCGGCCUAAGCAUCAGAACCAGCCGACACUGAUCAACGUAUCUUGAAGAACAUCAUCAAUGGCAAACAGCAGCGACGGGACUUGCGUCAGGCCGCCCUGUGUCGUGCCAGUUUAGUACUAUUGUUAAAUCCUAGCGAUCGGCCAGGACUAAGUAGGGCACUUCCCUAAAAAGGUGAAUUGUUAAUACCAUGCAGGAAUUUUUGUCAGACCCUCUGUGAGUGACAGAUAAUGAAAAAUAAAUAAUGCUUCGCCUACUAUUCUGA